rnacentral:rRNA from 1 species
UCCGUAGGCGGAUUAAUAAGUCAGAGGUGAAAUCCCACAGCUUAACUGUGGAACUGCCUUUGAUACUGUUAGUCUUGAGUUAUAUGGAAGUAGAUAGAAUGUGUAGUGUAGCGGUGAAAUGCAUAGAGAUUACACAGAAUACCGAUUGCGAAGGCAGUCUACUACGUAUAUAUUGACGCUAAUGGACGAAAGCGUGGGGAGCGAACAGGAUUAGAUACCCUGGUAGUCC